GACGAACGCUGGCGGCGUGCUUAACACAUGCAAGUCGAACGGAAAGGCCUCUUUCGGGGGGUACUCGAGUGGCGAACGGGUGAGUAACACGUGAGUAACCUGCCCUUGACUUUGGGAUAACUUCAGGAAACUGGGGCUAAUACCGGAUAGGAGCUCCUGCUGCAUGGUGGGGGUUGGAAAGUUUCGGCGGUUGGGGAUGGACUCGCGGCUUAUCAGCUUGUUGGUGGGGUAGUGGCUUACCAAGGCUUUGACGGGUAGCCGGCCUGAGAGGGUGACCGGCCACAUUGGGACUGAGAUACGGCCCAGACUCCUACGGGAGGCAGCAGUGGGGAAUAUUGCACAAUGGGUGGAAGCCUGAUGCAGCAACGCCGUGUGCGGGAUGUCGGCCUUCGGGUUGUAAACCGCUUUCGCUCAUGACGAAGCUUUGUGUGACGGUAGUGGGUAAAGAAGCACCGGCUAACUACGUG
rnacentral:rRNA from 1 species